ensembl:lncRNA
CCGACUACAAAAGUUCCCCCUGCCCUGUUGGGUAUCGCUGUCCAAAGGGAGCCGCCCAACCAAUAGCCUGCCCUCCUGGCUUCUUUGGUAACAUUACUCAUGCUGAGACAUUGAGUGACUGUCACCUGUGUCCAGCUGGCACCUUCAACCACCUGCUUGCUCAGAAGGCCUGCUUCCCCUGUGGCAGCUCCUCCACCUCAACAGCCGGUUCUUCUUCUUGCACCUGUAUCGUGAAUUGGACUGCCAGCCUGAGGUGAACAGACGGUGUUCUGCUGGUCAGGUACGUCUGGCAGCAUCCAGGGAGUGUGUGACACCUUCCCUCCACUCCUGCAAUACAACCUGUGGACAACAUGGAGGAACUCUGGAUGUGGCGAUGGGCAUCUGCCGGUGUGAGCGAUAUGUGUCCGCUGAAGAGCUUUGCAACACGUCCUGCCUCUUCACACUACCUCAGCUCUCCGCCCAGAUCUCACCAGACGGGCACCUGCUGCUCAGCUUAAAAGAAAGAGACAAGAUGGUGUGGGCAAGGACUGUGAUGGAUGUUUUAGGACCAGAUAUCCACGCAAAGGGUAUUGGUAAAAUCCAUUUGAUCCAGUUUGAUCCUGAAGGCGUGUUUGGUUGGAUUCCAACACAGAAAGAGCUCAUCAAUAACUUUCUGUCAGAACCGAUUAAACUCCUGAAGACAAGACAAAGAAAGAGGAGAGACAUGGAAGAUGCCGAGGAUUAUGAUGCUUCUGACACAGCUGUCCUUCCUCGUAUCCCCAACCCCAUUGUCUGUCUGUCCUCGGGUGACAUGCUCAUUUUCCAUCUCACCAUCAACCACACUGACCGACAUCGGAGCCACUUUCCAGUGUAUCAGAAAGACCACCUGUUUAACAGUAAUCCCAGUUGGGACUUUGGUGCCUUCAGACGACUGCAGAUACUCAUGAAGCAGACCAACUUGAACUCUACAAGGUUCGCCCACGUGUUUUCAGCAGCUGGGAAGUACGCGUUUGUCGACAGCACCGUCCCAGAGCGGAGUAUGGUGGUGGUGGUCAGUGAUCAGGGGACAGUCUGUGACCCUCGGGCCUCCGUCUUCCAGCCCAUGACCCCGGCACAGCUGGUGAAGCACGGGAUUAUCAAGCAGCACAGACUCAACCUUCUUCCUGACUGGGGAGUGAUAGCAGGGGUCCUUGGUCUGCUGCUGGUUCUCGUUGUGGUUUUGACCACCACCGUGAUAGUUCUGCGACCCGGUAAAGCAAAACUCGUCUCCCAAUGGAGGAAUAAGCCCAAGUGGCGCAGCCUCGGGGAGCCCUUCUGUCCGGUGGAUUGUGUUUGCAGUGAAGACAACAAAGUUGUCCCAAGCGUAGGUGGCUUACUAGGUAGUAGAGGUGAAGGAGAGGGAGCAGAAGCCGAGGAGCCCGCUGUUUCAAAAGGAGGAAAUGUUCCAGGGCGCUGCGAUUUGGAGGAGUUGAAUGUCAAGACUCUGUUUGACAAACUGGAGGAUCAGAACUUACACUUCGCCUCACAACUGGCCCGACACCGCAAAGACACACAGGAGUUUUAUAGAAACAUCUGUCAACAGACUGAAACACUCAAGAAUGUCCUAGACAAUAUGGAUCAUAGAAAACUAAGCUUUCUAAAGGAACUGCUUGUCCAUAAUGCAAUGAAGAAUAAACCAUUCGACUGCAGUGCAAGAGGGAGAGAUUUACAAGUUGAGACCUCUACAGCAUUACUAGGAGAUGUACUCCAGUCAGUAGAAGCUCUUCUCUGCAAGCUGGCGGGAGAAGCUUGGCAGAACCAGGAUUUAGCCGCCCCUCCAUACUGUCACAUUGGUCCUCGUGAUGCCAGGGAAUGUGAACCACGAGCUGGAUACAGACAAUCUGGUGACAACAUGUGUUAUACACAGUUUUCGUCAGCGAAUGUGAUCAAAGCAGAGCCAGUACAUCUACCGAGCACAGAGUCCUGUUUCAGUGACCACGACUUGUCCAGACUGCAGCUACAGAACAGUCUGUCCAGGAAAACAAUGAAGGGCAACUUAUCCCGACUGCCCUCGACAACCUCUCCGUGCAACACUCAGCCGUCUUCCUGUUCGGUUGCCAGGUGAUGCAGUUGCUUGCGAACAGCCACCUGUUCCCCCCUGUGCUUCUCCUAAUGGCCAAGUCGAUACCUGUUCCUUUAUCUUCCCCAAAUGAGGGUCUGCUGACACAUUGUUCAAGGGACUUUUAUUUUGAUGCAUCCAAUCAAAUCCUUUAUCUGUCAGAGGAAAAGCUUCAUCACGUUGGACAUUUCAUCGCCCUCAUUCUGCAGUCCAUGGCCUACAUAGUGUCAGGAUCCAAACCUCUGAGUUUCAUGGAAGCCCUUCAUGAGGCAAUAUCAGCUUUAAGCCUUCAGCUGUUCAACGUUUCUUUCAAAUGGAACACACCAGGGUCAAAUUCCAACGCUUCAGAGGGGCAGCAUAGUGCAUUAGUGGAAGAGUUUCUCAACACUAGAAUUCCCACUGAACCACAGUUUACCGAACACCUUUUAGCUUGCAGGCUUCAGAAACAGCUUAUGACAAACCUCAAACAGAUUUCAACUGAGGACACAAACACAGCAGGUUUGCCACCAAAAGGGACACCAAUGCAGAUGUCCUGCAUAGAAGACGAAAUUGACCGAAUGAGUGAGUCUUUCUUGCAGCUGAGCGUGCAGCUACAGAAGAGAGCUCAAAUGAGCACAUGGCUAAAGGAGAGAGAAAAUGGAGCUGGCAACCAUUCUGUGCAGGCAAUACCAACGAGCAUACCAAGUCUCAGUCGUAAUGGAACGAUCCUGCUGGAGCUGAAGAGAUCCUAUGUAUCACAGCGCCUCAACGAGCUCCAAAUGACAUUAGGCCGCAUCAGACAGAGCCAGCAGCGUGACAGCGAGUCAAAAAAUGGAACAAGAGGCCGCAUGCAAACCGACAGCAGCGCCACUCAGCAGGAGCAGAGCGACCAUUAUCCUGGCGUAGCUGAUUGGGGUCCGCUUGGCGGCCAGCGGCCGGACAGUUUUCCAUCUGACACGAGUCACAGCCAGCAAAGAGCAGAGAGCAGAGGUCCCGGUAACUCUAAACCGGAGAGUCGUAUAUCCGACCAGCUGAUGAGUGACACUGUCCAGAGCAACAACCCAGACGCAUCACUAGACUGCUAGAAGUCGUGUCUCUGUAUCCCAAGGGUGCAGGAGGCUUUGGUACACGUUUGUUUUGAUGCACAGAAUAAUACAAUUUCUUGUAUGUUUAAUCAGAGCUAAGUGUGUUGUUUUUAAUAAUGUAUGAUCUUGAAUUCUCAGGCAGGACUUAUUGUGUUCUGUUUAUUACCAUAUUCUAAAGAAGACGAUAAUCUUCAACUCGGUAGAUUCAAAAUGUGCUUCUGUGUUGUUUCUUACUCACAAACACUUCUCCCUUUUGUAGCGGUGACAACCUCUGUCUUCAUAAGUAUUUCAUGUUUGUCCGUUUUCUUCAUCUCAAAGCUCCAUUCAAAAUCUUGCUGGAAAGGUCUAUGCUUCCUUCCUCACUCGGGUUCCUCGGUUUGUCUGACGCACAGGGUUCUGGUUCUUUUAAUAGAAAGUGAGUAUUCCUACAGGGGACUGCGGGCCAAAUCAGAAGGUCAGAUGGAACAAGUCUUCACUUACUAUCAGUGUUAGCUUAGAGCUCUGUGACAACUCCCCCGAGGUGCAAUUUGGCAUUGCCCUGUAGAUUUGUGUGUGUGUGUAUGUGUAUGUGUUUGUGUGCGUACGAGGGGUGUGGUUCAGUGACUCCUUGAGAUUAUACGCCUUAUCAAUUAGAUUAGCUGCUAUGUGUUAGUGAUUUGGCCUCACGGUGAGACAAGGCAUCAUAUAACACGGCUCCUGAGCCCUGUGUUUCUACAUUAGCGGUACAGCGUUAUGUUUGCUCUAGUUGUUGGGCUCAACACAAGUGUUAUUUUUAGACACCGUCUUUUGUGAUUUGUGUGUGACAGUAUGUGUAUAUAUGUUUGAAUACUAUAUGUAUACGAUUGCAAAAUAUCCAAAUUAAAUACAAAACAUAUUCCAUGAGGUCUGCCAUGUACUCUAAUACAAUGCUAAAUGCUAAAGUUCUAACAGUGGGUCAAGAAUCAGCUGUCUUUUGUUGUAUAAACACAGCAAAACCUUUUUUUUUAAUUGCAUUGGAAUAGCAGAUUUCUUUGUGUACAUUUGUGAAUUCAAUACAUGGAUUAUAUAAUUGCAUAGAGUGCUGCACAGAUACAGAUGCAUCUAGAAUGCAUAUGAAAGAUGCUUGUAGAGAUAAACCAAAUUCCGACGUUAAGUUACAGUAUAUAUUUUUUCUAGCAAACCCCCACAAGAUUUACAUCUCAGUUUCCAACAUGUUUCAUCCACGGCAGUCUGCCGUAAUCAUGUUAUAAUCUUGAAAUCCUUCCAAAUCCCUAGAAAUCUGCUCUCCUCUGACCCAAAACUGGCCCUGUACACAUGCACACGCGUAUGUAUACAUACAUGCUCUCACUAACACACGCUCAUGUGUCAACUGCUGGUGAAUGCUGUUUUCUUGCUCUCCAGUCUUGGAAUUGAUGCACCCUUUUUUGGGAUGCAUUUACCAUAAAAUACGCAAAAGUGCUUCAUUCAUCACCUGCUGUGAAACCCCUUUGAGCUGCACACAGAAAAACACAGAGUGUAAAAGCACAUGAUUUAAUACAUAUGUUAAAUCAUUUUCUUUGAGAGGAUUUUCUUUUAUGACUAAGUCAAAACAUUAAGCUCUUAAAAAAUAUAGAGCUGCGUUUGAGCCUUCCUGUUUUAAGCCUGUGGUCUGUCGCUAAGGAGGUCUCUCGUCACCAUGGCACUGCAUUACUGUUUCUAUGGUUUCCUUAUCUGCAGGAUGUGGUUCAUCCAAGCCUGCCAUAUUUAGUCUGCUUCUC